rnacentral:rRNA from 1 species
AAGUGACAGGUGGUGCAUGGUUGUCGUCAGCUCGUGUCGUGAGAUGUUGGGUUAAGUCCCGCAACGAGCGCAACCCUUGAUUUUAGUUGCCAGCAUUUAGUUGGGCACUCUAAAGUGACUGCCGGUGCAAGCCGGAGGAAGGUGGGGAUGACGUCAAAUCAUCAUGCCCCUUAUGACCUGGGCUACACACGUGCUACAAUGGAUAGUACAAAGGGUCGCGAAGCCGCGAGGUGGAGCUAAUCCCAUAAAACUAUUCUCAGUUCGGAUUGUAGGCUGCAACUCGCCUACAUGAAGCCGGAAUCGCUAGUAAUCGUGGAUCAGCAUGCCACGGUGAAUACGUUCCCGGGCCUUGUACACACCGCCCGUCACACCACGAGAGUUUGUAACACCCGAAGUCGGUAGGGUAACCUUUAUGGAGCCAGCCGCCGAAGGUGGGACAGAUAAUUGGGGUGAAGUCGUAACAAGGUAGCCGUAUCGGAAGGUGCGGCUGGAUCACCUCCUUU